GAGUUUGAUCGUGGCUCAGAUUGAACGCUGGCGGCAGGCCUAACACAUGCAAGUCGAGCGGAUGACGGGAGCUUGCUCCUUGAUUCAGCGGCGGACGGGUGAGUAAUGCCUAGGAAUCUGCCUGGUAGUGGGGGACAACGUUUCGAAAGGAACGCUAAUACCGCAUACGCCCUACGGGAGAAAGCAGGGGACCUUCGGGCCUUGCGCUAUCAGAUGAGCCUAGGUCGGAUUAGCUAGUUGGUGGGGUAAUGGCUCACCAAGGCGACGAUCCGUAACUGGUCUGAGAGGAUGAUCAGUCACACUGGAACUGAGACACGGUCCAGACUCCUACGGGAGGCAGCAGUGGGGAAUUUUGGACAAUGGGGCAACCCUGAUCCAGCCAUGCCGCGUGAGUGAAGAAGGCCUCGGUUGUAAGACGUCUUCGUCGUAGGAGGAAAGUUAGACACCGGAC
rnacentral:rRNA from 1 species